rnacentral:rRNA from 1 species
AUGCGCCCCUGGGCCAUCUUCUCAUGCGGUUGUGGCGCUGUGUACUUUUCUUUGCAUCCAGAUCCUUCCACUCUUCACGUCUCCUAUAUCCAAGCCCCUGGCCUUCAAUACUGUACUUUUCAUGUUAUACAUCAGCUCCACGAGACCACUGCAGCUGGAGCAGCCAACGAUCCAUUUUCUGAUUGUGAGUGUUCUAUUUUAUUUCUUAAUUUUGAUUUCUCCAAAAUGUCAACUGAGAAUAAACCGAAUCCAGAUGCCGCAAAAACCCUGAAACAACUGUUAGACAAUUUUGCCAAUGUCACUGGAUUUGCGAUGUUUUUUUGA